AAAGAGUGUGGUCUUACCGGAA
rnacentral:siRNA from 1 species